GCUCCCGUGGUGAAAUGGAUAUCACAUCAGUCUUCGGAACUGACGUUCCAGGUUCGAAUCCUGGCGGGAGCACCA
rnacentral:tRNA from 1 species